CUUGACUUGAGACAUCUAUGCUUGACAAUACUUUUUAGUACCAGAAAGUAGUCCGUGCAUAAACGAACAAGUUUUGUGCUUCUUCAUAAGGAUUCCGAUUCCCUUGUAGAAUUAGCAACUGAGUCAAGAAAGCCAGUGGUGAGCCUAGAAUUUGAACAACAGGAUUUUAAUAAAAAAAAAUAAGGUAAUUGACAGCUCAAAUCCUAAUUUUAGCUGGCUAUGGCCUUGGUUGACAUAAUGAGCCAGGAGAAUGAAUAAGGGAUGGACGCUCCCUUGAUUCCAAUGUUAUGUUGUGUUAUUUUCAUAUUUUUCAUACAUGCACACAUUACAUACUAUAUCAGGUAAUACACAAACUGAUUGGGUGAGGCGCAUUAUCUGAUAUUAUCAUGUUGUGCUGACUAGCAAGUGCCCUUCCUAUUCAUGUUUCAGGCACCUCCCUUAAUUGGUUGUGAUGUCAGACUUCAGAAACAAUGGAAAUAGUGAGAAACAAAGAAGUAUUUCAAGCAAACCAAGCGCGCUCUUGACCUGGGCUUCCUUGGGCAUGGUAUAAGUAGAGAGCCACCAAUUCAGACUAAUGAUAGGACACCAAUUCAGAAUAUAAUGGUAAGCUAUUAGGAGACCGAUUCAGAAUAUAAUGGCCACCAUUCCUUGGGCAUGGUGUAAGUAGAAGUCCCUGCUUUCUUUGUACAGAAUAUAAUGAACACAUAGGACAAUGUUAGGACACCAAUUCAGACCACAUAUAUACAAUUGCUUAAUGUCAUAUAUACACUUGACACCAUGGUUUUUAAGGCGACGCCUUGGCGCCUUAAGGAGGGAGGGCGCUUUGGCGCCUAGGCGACGCCUAGGCGGGCGCUUUGGACGCCUAGGCGCCUAAAGCGGCCGUUUUUACAAAGCGGAGGGGGAGCGCCUUGACGCCUAGGCGUCGCCUAGGCGACGACUAAGCGACGCUUUUUAAACCAUGCUUGACACAAUUACAUAGGUUGACUCCACUCUUGGAUCUCAUGCUAGGAUGGCUUCGGGUAUUUCUACAUCUUCGGCUUCGGCUUCAGAGUUGGAGCUGGAGGGGAAGAUGCAAGUAAUGGGAAAUCUGCAGUUGGCGAUCGACAAAUAGAAGCUAGGCCUGAUACACUGACAGUUGAUACUGGUGCUGGGGUUCCAUUCCAUCAAAUAUUUUAGUCAGUUUUCAAGUUCUUUGUAUAUGACCAGAUAUACAGAAAGCAUGCUCAACAACAAGGUAUACAGAAAGCAUGCUCAACAACAAGUUUCUUUAACACACUGAAGCUAUCCAUUUGAUGUGCAGUUAUCGACCAUUCAAGACUUUGAACCCACUCUCAGAAGAUAUCUGCAUGAUUCCUCUUAAGAAGCUGAAGAGUUUGCCUUCUGGAUUUACUUUGAUGACAGUUGCAUUUUUGGUGUAGAAUUUAUCAAGGUUAUCACUGUGAAAACAACAGAUACUACUUCAGAAAACCUGUAUGUAGCAGAGCAUCACCUUUGAUGACCAUGGAGUGUAUACUUGGAUUAUUGAAGGCUUCACCACACCUCAGACCCCAUGCAACUCUCCAACAUUUGUAACUGAUAAAUUCUACACCAGAAGAGUUUGCCUUCUGGAUACAAAUGGUAUCUAAGUAUCAAGACAUCUAACAUGGAUGUGGAUGGCAGCACGAAUUUUCUCUCUCUGUUCUUGCAUCUGUAAGAUAUGCUCCCCAGAAAUCAUGGAAUACUGGUAGAAGUCAGCUUUUCUCUCAUGGACCAAGCAAAUGGCAACCACAGGGAGUUCAGAGGUUCACAUUC